rnacentral:rRNA from 1 species
UACGUAGGCAGCGAGCGUUGUUCGGAGUUACUGGGCGUAAAGGGUGUGUAGGCGGUUUUCUAAGUUUGGUGUGAAAUCUCCCGGCUUAACCGGGAGGGUGCGCCGAAAACUGGGAGACUAGAGUGCGGGAUGGGAGAGUAGAAUUCCUGGUGUAGCGGUGAAAUGCGUAGAUAUCGGGAGGAACACCAGUGGCGAAGGCGAUCUUCUGGACGGAUACUGACGCUGAGGCGCGAAAGCUAGGGGAGCAAACGGG